GUAGUCUCAACGCAGGUGCGGGUGAGUCGCGGGAAAUCACAACCCUCCCGCCACCUCUCCUGCCGGCUCUCUCGCACGCCGGGUCCCCGCGCGCUGUCUGCCGUCAGGGCGCGCCCGGAGGCAGAGCCCGAGUCCCCCGUCUUUCCGCUAGCGCGGCUGGGGAGGCGGGGUCCCAAGCCCGGCCCCUCAGGCAGCUCCCCGCCUCCCUCCCGCCCUCCCCGCGGCGUCGGGCCGGUGCCCGAAUCCAGGCAGCGGCCGCAGGAGGCGCGGCGGCGGCGGUGGGCGCCGCAGGCGAUGCCCCUGCCCCGCUGCUCCGGCGGGGGGCAGAGCGCGCGGCGGCGGCGGCGGCGGCGGGGAAGGAGGCGGGGGGCGGCGGCGGAGGGGCCGAGAGCUGGCGGCGGCGGCGGCGGUGGUCGUGAAGGGCAUCGGUGACGGAGAUGAUCUGAAGAUGGAAAGAGCCAGGCGAAGGGGAGGCGGCGGCAGCGGCGGCGGCCGUGGCCGCGGAGGCAAGAAUGUAGGGGGCCCUGGCCUAAGCAAGAGUAGACUCUAUCCCCAGGCCCAGCAUUCUCACUACCCCCACUACUCCGCGUCAGCCACCCCUAAUCAGUCUGGGGGCACAUCCGAAAUCCAGGAGCUAGCCUCCAAACGUGUGGACAUCCAGAAAAAGAGGUUUUACCUAGACGUGAAGCAGAGCUCCCGGGGCCGCUUCCUAAAGAUAGCCGAAGUCUGGAUAGGGAGAGGCCGGCAGGACAAUAUCAGAAAGAGUAAACUGACCCUCUCCCUGUCGGUAGCAGCAGAGCUGAAGGACUGUCUAGGCGACUUCAUCGAGCACUAUGCCCAUCUGGGCCUGAAAGGCCACAGACAGGAGCAUGGCCAGAGCAAAGAGCAAGUCUCCAGGAGGCGGCAGAAGCACUCUGCACCCUCCCCACCGGUGUCAGUGGGGUCAGAAGAGCAUCCUCACAGUGUCCUCAAAACGGACUAUAUAGAGAGGGACAAUAGGAAAUACUACCUGGACCUAAAGGAAAACCAACGAGGUCGCUUCCUAAGGAUUAGACAAACCAUGAUGCGGGGCACUGGCAUGAUCGGUUACUUUGGCCACAGUUUGGGCCAGGAUCAGACUAUUGUCCUCCCAGCACAAGGUAUGAUUGAAUUUCGUGAUGCCUUGGUUCAGCUGAUUGAAGACUACGGCGAAGGAGACAUAGAAGAACGAAGGUGUGGAGACGACGACCCACUUGAACUCCCAGAGGGGACCUCUUUCAGAGUGGACAAUAAAAGGUUCUACUUUGAUGUGGGCUCUAAUAAAUAUGGAAUUUUCCUGAAGGUAAGUGAGGUGAGACCGCCUUACCGUAAUACUAUUACUGUUCCGUUCAAAGCUUGGACAAGGUUUGGGGAGAAUUUUAUCAAGUAUGAAGAAGAGAUGAGGAAAAUUUGCAACAGCCAUAAGGAAAAGAGAAUGGAUGGCCGUCGGGCCAGUGGUGAAGAACAAGAAUGCCUGGACUAGCGUGAAAUUGAACUCCAGCAGGCAGAAUUUAGAAAUCAGUAAUUGGCUAAACGUACUGAUCCGUAAUCAUGAUCAUUUGAAGAAGUUUCUCCUCUUUUGGGCCCUCUGUUAUUAGUAAUACCUCUAAUAGUUUAUACUUAAAAGGAGUCUGAUUCUCAUGUUAUGUUAUACAUAGAUCACUAUAAUUCUCAUGGGAAUUCCAACCUCCCCAGAGCCAAAUAGUUUAGCUGCUUCAACUGCUCCAGACUAUUGAAGUAUGCAGAUCAGCACAGAGUGUGACAUUCUGACCUUUAAUCACGAUAACUUAAGAUUUACAUUGCACUAUGACAGAAUCUUGAAAAUGAUGAUACAUAGACUUAAUACAAAAGUGUGAAUUUCUAUUUAACAAAUCCCACCCCCAAAGAAAGUCCCAUACUUUGUUAAAAGUUCGUACUUUGUUAAAAAGUUGCAAAGUUUACCUGUAGGACCAUUACCACAGAAACAGAGAUUGACCUCAAGUGUAGUAUAUUUCUUUAUGAAAGUACUAGUAGGAAUAUAUUCUCAUUGGGUAACUGAGUAUUAACUAGUACCACUAAAAUACAAAUAUUAUUAGACAAUUAGACCUUUGAAAUACAAUGUCAUAUUCCUUAGCAGUUACUACUAUAUACAGAAUUCUAUAAUUUCAAAUUUUGUGGUAACCCUACAGUUUUAGUUGCCAUAUCAAAGCCACGGAAGAGUUUUAAUUCAUUAUUCUAGCUAAUUGCAAUCUAAUCUUCUGUUUCCUAUUCUAUAUAUUUCAUUGACUUUCCAAAGUUUUGGAAAUUAUGCUUAUGUCACUGUUGUGAGGGAGGCUUCACCCAGUGGCUUUGUUAUGGAAAUUUUGAUGUUUUAAAACAGCCUUUCAUGAUAAUUUGGAAUUGUUUUUCCUUAAAAAUCUGUCAUGAACUUUCAAAGUGUAUUUUAUGCUUUCCCACUCGUGCAUAAGGGUUGGUGCACCAGCUCACUGGUGUAAAGAUAUAUCUACUGAUAUAUAUUUUUUAGUAGGGCUCUUAUAUUGGCUGCCCUUAAAACCAUGUCAAACUUACAGUAUAAACCUGACUUUUACACAUACUUUUAACUCCAAAAGAAAAAAGUUGUUGUUUUUGGUUUUGGUUUUGGUUUUUUUGCUGAGAAUACAAAAUUGCAGUGUGGGAGAUAUAAUAUUUGGAAACACUAUUGGUUAUAAACAUUUAAAAGGAAAAUUCAGGCAUUUUCCAAGGUGCUCCUUAAGAUUCUCAAAGAGGCUUACUCUACACAAGACGUAUCCAUCCAUUUGUGCUUGCCUGUAUUAAAAAUCACUUUCCAGAAAGUGCCACCUGAAUUUUUAGACACUCAGCAGUUUUUAAGCAAGUGGGUAGAUAUAGCAUGGACACCCACAGCAUCCCUUAUUAACUGAAUGAAAUUUCAUCUGUUGGGCUACAUCUUACUCUAAACGAAAUUGUGUUUUGUCGUGGGAUCAGUUACUGCUCCACAGUAAGUCAUGUGAUCACAUUUAAGAGACAGGCACUGAUUUCAGCUGCCCAGCUCGAGUCCUCAUGGGUGAGAGCUGGCUGCAAGGACCGAGGUCAGAAUGUGGCUCUUCUCUGAUAUGCUCUUAAGUAAUUCAGCUUUGAACAAUUUUCCCUCCAGAAUUUUUCUCUAAACACAUUAAACUAAGGUCGCUAAGGAAAACCGUGGGACGAAUUAAGAAGAUUAAGUUCAUUGGCUUUUGUUAAGACCAAGCAACUAGUAACCCAGACAUACAUACUGAUGUUGGUUGCAGAUUCUAUUUCACAUUUCUCGAAGUACUGUGAUGGACUCUCACUCAGUUCACUCCCCUUGUGAGCCAUCUGGAUCACCAUGGAACAACAAGGUUAGAAGAAAAUGUCAGUGCGAGCGCUAAUAGCACAUGCUCACAAAUUACCCUAAAUCCAGAGAGAAUCUCAACCUUUUUCACUGUUGUCAGACCAAGCAUAAGGAACAGCCCUAUGAUACUCCAAAGACAGUUGAGGAAUAAGGACUAAAUCCCUUAUGUUACACUGCAGAAUAAAGGCAUUCGAUGAAAGAAAUGAACUGAAGUUCAUCAUGAGCGCAAGGCUUCUGUACUUGGCGUUCCUGCAUGGAAAGGAAAACAGGUAUGGACGCCAUUGGCAUCAUAUUCACACUGCCCUUAUGCGGAAAGCCCCCCACCACACUGGAGGACUUCUGGACUCAGUCUGGUUUGCUGGGGACAGGGGUGGGGGUGGAGGUCCUGUUUCUUUAAACCUUUCAUUUUCCAAAUAGCUAUUUGCCAGCAUUGAGGGAGGAGGAGACAUAUAGACUUGAAAAUACUUUCUUAAGAGAUCAUGUAACUGUCUAACUCUGAGUUUAAAUUUGGAGGAGGAAGGAUCACUUCAAUCCGCUGCCUCGUAUAAGAAACAUUUUUUAUAAAUCUGUAACUGCGUUAGUGUUAACAGGGUACAAGGUGGUUUUGUCCUGUAUUGUAUUUCAAAGGUUCUCAUGGGUUGUGACUGUAUUGUACUGUAUGAAAAGAAGUCAGAACUUGCCUUGUAUUGUUUAUAAUGGACCAUAACUCAUACUAAUUCAGUUUUCAUGUUCCAAAUUUUUCAGUGAUGCAUGUUCACAGUUAGGUCCUAAACUCCUGUGGUGCUAAUUCCUCCAUAAUCCAAUGGUGCUUUUUGUGGAUGCUAACUGCACACAUGCUGAACAAGGCUUGAAACUCAAAAGUUCCCUCCCUUCCUCUGUUUAUAUGAAGUAAAAUACAAUAACUUGAAUUUGUCUCAAAAUAUUCACUGACAAUCCAAUAAACUGGUUUAUAUGUGUCAUUA